GGACAGCUGGCCUUGGGGACCACACUGUGCUGAGGCCACCCAGCUCCCCUCUGAGAGCUGUUCCUGCCUCCACGCACGGAGCCAGGGGGGUGCUGUGCCCGAGGGGACGGGCAGAGCCAGGUGCUGUGACUGAGGGACAGGCAGAGCCAGGUGCCCAUCCCCAAGCCCCUGUGCCCAUGUCAUACGUGGAUGAGGUUUUUCCGUGCCCAUCCCCAAGCCCCUGUGCUCAUGCCAUACGUGGAUGAGGUUCUCCCAUGCCCAUCCCCAAGCCCCUGUGCCCAUCCCCAAGCCCCUGUGCCCAUGCCAUACGUGGAUGAGGUUCUCCCGUGCCCAUCCCCAAGUCCCUGUGCCCAUCCCCAAGCCCCUGUGCCCAUCCCCAAGCCC